GACGAACGCUGGCGGCGUGCUUAACACAUGCAAGUCGAACGGAAAGGCCCUGCUUUUGUGGGGUGCUCGAGUGGCGAACGGGUGAGUAACACGUGAGUAACCUGCCCUUGACUUUGGGAUAACUUCAGGAAACUGGGGCUAAUACCGGAUAGGAGCUCCUGCUGCAUGGUGGGGGUUGGAAAGUUUCGGCGGUUGGGGAUGGACUCGCGGCUUAUCAGCUUGUUGGUGGGGUAGUGGCUUACCAAGGCUUUGACGGGUAGCCGGCCUGAGAGGGUGACCGGCCACAUUGGGCCUGAGAUACCGCCCAGACUCCUACGGGAGGCAGCAGUGGGGAAUAUUGCACAAUGGGCGGAAGCCUGAUGCAGCAACGCCGCGUGCGGGAUGACGGCCUUCGGGUUGUAAGCCGCUUUCGCCUGUGACGAAGCGUGAGUGACGGUAAUGGGUAAAGAAGCACCGGCUAACUACGUG
rnacentral:rRNA from 1 species